rnacentral:rRNA from 1 species
UGGCUAACGGGUGAGCUAACACGUGGGCAAUCUGCCCUUCACUCUGGGACAAGCCCUGGAAACGGGGUCUAAUACCGGAUGACACUCUGUCCCGCAUGGGACGGGGUUGAAAGCUCCGGCGGUGAAGGAUGAGCCCGCGGCCUAUCAGCUUGUUGGUGGGGUGAUGGCCUACCAAGGCGACGACGGGUAGCCGGCCUGAGAGGGCGACCGGCCACACUGGGACUGAGACACGGCCCAGACUCCUACGGGAGGCAGCAGUGGGGAAUAUUGCACAAUGGGCGAAAGCCUGAUGCAGCGACGCCGCGUGAGGGAUGACGGCCUUCGGGUUGUAAACCUCUUUCAGCAGGGAAGAAGCGAAAGUGACGGUACCUGCAGAAGAAGCGCCGGCUAACUACGUGCCAGCAGCCGCGGUAAUACGUAGGGCGCAAGCGUUGUCCGGAAUUAUUGGGCGUAAAGAGCUCGUAGGCGGCUUGUUGCGUCGGUUGUGAAAGCCCGGGGCUUAACCCCGGGUCUGCAGUCGAUACGGGCAGGCUAGAGUGUGGUAGGGGAGAUCGGAAUUCCUGGUGUAGCGGUGAAAUGCGCAGAUAUCAGGAGGAACACCGGUGGCGAAGGCGGAUCUCUGGGCCAUUACUGACGCUGAGGAGCGAAAGCGUGGGGAGCGAAC